GAUGAACGCUGGCGGCGUGCCUAAUACAUGCAAGUCGAGCGAACAGAUAAGGAGCUUGCUCCUUUGACGUUAGCGGCGGACGGGUGAGUUACACGUGGAUAACCUACCUAUAAGACUGGGAUAACUUCGGGAAACCGGAGCUAAUACCGGAUAACAUAUUGAACCGCAUGGUUCAAUAGUGAAAGGCGGCUUUGCUGUCACUUAUAGAUGGAUCCGCGCCGUAUUAGCUAGUUGGUAAGGUAACGGCUUACCAAGGCAACGAUACGUAGCCGACCUGAGAGGGUGAUCGGCCACACUGGAACUGAGACACGGUCCAGUCUCCUACGGGAGGCAGCAGUAGGGAAUCUUCCGCAAUGGGCGAAAGCCUGACGGAGCAACGCCGCGUGAGUGAUGAAGGUCUUCGGAUCGUAAAACUCUGUUAUCAGGGAAGAACAAAUGUGUAAGUAACUGUGCACAUCUUGACGGUACCUGAUCAGAAAGCCACGGCUAACUACGUG
rnacentral:rRNA from 1 species